AUGGUGAAGUGGGCUGACAUUUGCUUGCCGAAGGACCGAGGUGGGUUGGGCAUCCCUGCAUCUCGCCGGAUGAACGUUGUGCUUAUGUUGUGUUGGGUUUGGCGGAUCUUGCGGGGAGAUGGUUGA
rnacentral:rRNA from 1 species